UGGGGAAUAUUGCACAAUGGGGGAAACCCUGAUGCAGCGACGCCGCGUGAGCGAAGAAGGUUUUCGAAUCGUAAAGCUCUGUCCUAUGGGAAGAUAAUGACGGUACCAUAGGAGGAAGCCCCGGCUAACUACGUGCCAGCAGCCGCGGUAAUACGUAGGGGGCAAGCGUUGUCCGGAAUCACUGGUCGUAAAGGGUUCGCAGGCGGAAAUGCAAGUCAGUUGUGAAAGGCAGAGGCUCAACCUCUGUAAGCAAUUGAAACUGUAUUUCUUGAGAUGUGGAGAGGCAAGUGGAAUUCCUAGUGUAGCGGUGAAAUGCGUAGAUAUUAGGAAGAAUACCGGUGGCGAAGGCGACUUGCUGGACACAAACUGACGCUGAGGAACGAAAGCGUGGGUAGCAAACAGG
rnacentral:rRNA from 1 species